rnacentral:lncRNA from 1 species
UUUCAGGGAAGCUUCUUCUCAGGUUGCUGAAGAACCGGUGCACACUCCCGUUGGGAACUUGAUUCCUUUUGUGUGGGAUCUACUCUUCUCCUUUAGACUGAGAUCAAAUUAUGAUUUCAUCUUUGUUUCUGAGGACACAGGUGAAAGUUGUAAAUCUGUCAGAAAGGAAUAUCAAUUACGUUUCCCUUUUCUCACUUCUUUUCUCUUUCUAUCUCUGCAGGUGCAGUGCAAAUAAAAUUUGGACUAUAUCUUCAUGUUUAUCCUUACUUUUUGGAAGUUAGGUGGUGCAGGAUAUUGGAGGGAGUCGAACAGCGAUUGUCUUUCAAAUUACGCCGGCAAACAACUCUCUUUCUCUCUCGGACAGACUUUGACUGUCAAUUGUCUGUCUAUCUCCUGUGAAGAUUGGCAGUCAAUUCUCUGCAUCUAUCUUGAAUGGAGGCUGGCAGUUGACUCCUUGUAUUGUGUGUUGCAAUUCCCAUGACCAAACAAACAAGUGACCUUUCACCUAAAAUUCCCAGGGCUUGACACGUUUUGGAUCUUGUUUAUUAUGGUUACUUCCUCCUCGAGACACCUGUACAAACAUGGUCCCUCACUCCCAACAUAACCCUUGGUUAAAAUAGCUUUUGACAAUACCUGGUUUUUAGUAAUAUUUUCUUAACAAUUAUUUAGCUCUUGUGGCGGGAUAGACUUUUAUUGGUGAAUGUUUUCGGGCUUUCUUUGAGGUCCUC